GUUUCCGUAGUGUAGUGGUUAUCACGUUUGCCUCACACGCAAAAGGUCCCCAGUUCGAAACUGGGCGGAAACA
rnacentral:tRNA from 1 species